GGGAGGGGUAUGGUCUUGAGAGAUAGUUUCCCAGUACUCACAAAGUCAUCAGAUUGGAGAAGCCCACCUGUGUGAAGCAAGGUAAAUUUUAAAAAUACACAUAUAAUAACAAAUUAAAAGAAUACUUUAAGUAGGUUCUUAAAAGCAGCCGGAGUGGGGAAAACCUGAUCCUCAAAGAAGUGACUAACCAGGUGACUUCUCCACGGCAACAGUGGAGGUCAGAAGAAAGUAGACGCUGUUCUCUCUGUGCUGAAGACCAGAGCCCAAAACAGCAACACAGACCCAGCCAAAUUCUUGCCCUGUACUUCAUGGAAACUUUCGGACAAAAACCAGAAUUUAUUUUCGGUCCCUCACUGAAGGAACUUGAAAGGAUAUCCUUAGGAAUGAAAAUUAACCCAUAGCAGGCAAGAAAAAAAUGGAGGACAAGGGAAAUUACAAACUCCUGGAUACAUUUAAACAGUAAUAGCAUUAAACAAUACUUUCAGAAGGCAAGUUUUUCUUAAAAAAAAUUUCUCUUAAAAAGUUA